rnacentral:rRNA from 1 species
UACGAAGGGUGCUAGCGUUGUUCGGAAUCACUGGGCGUAAAGCGCGCGUAGGCGGCGUUACAAGUCAGGGGUGAAAUCCUUGGGCUCAACCCAAGAAUUGCCUUUGAAACUGUGACGCUGGAGUACUGGAGGGGAUGGCGGAAUUCCUAAUGUAGAGGUGAAAUUCGUAGAUAUUAGGAGGAACACCGGUGGCGAAGGCGGCCAUCUGGCCAGUUACUGACGCUGAGGCGCGGAAGCACGGGGAUCAAACAGG